CCCUCUUUUGGUGGCUUUCUCCAGUGUGCUGGUGUUGGCUGUUUUAUCACUUGACACAAGGCUGAAGGGCUUUGCCUCAAAGUCUCUUCACAAGGGGGAACUAUGAGUUACCCUUACAAGUUUUUUUAUUUUUUUUUUAUUUUUUUUUUCUUUCCUGUUUUUCUCUUCUGGAUACAAAUUCUGUGCCUUGAAAUGUGAAUGUCAUCUCUUAUAUUCCUUGUGUUAACAAGGCAGGAAUGCAGUGCUGUGUUUAACACAGAAAAUGGAAAAGCCUGCUUUAAAGACUCCAGAUCUUCCUGAGACUCCUGCCUUUGAAAAGCCGUUUGUUCCAAGAUACAGACUAUUGAAGGACAAUAAACUCAGACCAGCUGUUUGCUGUUCGUGGCAGGUUUUAUAGCCACGAGUAGAUAUCGGCCUAUUUGCUGAGAAGCAAGCAAGAACUGUUGCUCAGGCUCUUUAUCAGCAAAAAUAGGGCUCCUUACACUUUGUGCCACAGCGCUGCCCUGCAAAAGGCAUAAAUAAAAACUGGGCAGUAACAGAUAUACUCUACAUGCUUUUUAAAAAGAAUCUUAAAUCCUGCUUUAAAGCUCUUCCGAGCAUCCCAUAUGUAUAUCCAAAUACAGGGGAAGCAUUUUAAAUGCAGCAGACUGAAGUGCCCUACCACUGAUGCUAAACUUACAAUCAAGGAAGAUACGAGCAUGCUGUGUGCGUAUGUCUGCUGUCAAUUUGGUGUGCACUGACGUAUUUUCCUCUGACUUCUCCUUUCCUCUUUUGAACUCCAAGCCAUCGCUCCCCCACAUUGCAAGUGACAACUUAAACACAGAGGAUCCUGUCUGUGCUCCGAAAUAAGCACAGGCCCUGUUUCCAUUUCCCCACUGCUGAUAAUGUGGUAGGAUGUAGUUCAGAAGAGCUCUCCCAGCUGCAGCCUGCAACCUGACUCCAUGAAAAGCUCUGCUAUCAAACCCGAGCAUGCCUAAACCGGUACCUUUGACUGUCUAAAUGCAGGGUGGGAUUUUUGGCUGGAUGGAUAAACGUUUUCAAAGAAGUAGGUGGAAACAUAACAUAAAGUAGGAAAAUUGCUUGAAAACUCAGACGUUUUUCAGGGUUUAGGUUCAAAUCCUCCUAUUCUUGCUUCUGCUGAAUGACACUAAUUAGCUUCCCUGGUGUUCCCCCAGCAGUGUAGGAGGAGAAAGUGAGGAUGUUGAAGUCAUGCCGCUACAUCGUUUUGCACCUGGAGGUGCUGCUUCAGCACAAGCAAUGACAGCAAGCUGUAAAAUCUUGUGUCCCUUCUGAUGCUGGGAACCCUGAGAUGAUGCAGCAUCAGACUAACCUACGCCUAUGGCCCAGCAUGCUGCAUGGACUUCCCAUUUGGGAUGAGGUUUGCCCUCACUCUGUGCUUCAGAGUUUUUAUAGGACUUUCCUAGAAGUAACGCAUGCAGCUUCCUUUAAAGAUAGAGCCAAGUGACAUGCUGGUGGCAUCACAACCAGUGCCAAGCAGGUGCCAUCUCCAGGCUUUUCCAUUGUCCUUAACUGCCUGUGUUUAAGUGUAAGGGAUGUGUGCAGGACAGCACAGACCUGAAGGCCAAGCAAUGCAUCCUCAGGUCUACUCUUAACACAAAUCACAAUCCCCUCAAUGUACCAUAGUCUGGUUAGGGCAGAUAUAUAUGUUCUGCAGUCCUAAGCAGAUGCAAAACCGGCCCAGAGGGAAGUCAUCUCCAAUCCUGGACUAAAUUUGUAAGUGGCUUAGGUUUUGUGGAGUCUUCUGGGUAAAGAGCUGCACUUACAAGAGGAGUAUUUUCCCAUCUUUCACUCUAGCUGCGUGUCAGUGAGAAGUCCCAUUUUGGCCAAGAAUAUGAAAUGCAAAACAUCCUAUUGGUCUCUUUUUUUUUUUUCUCUCCUGCUGCUGUGCAAGCACAUAUCAUAAGGCUAAAAUCUGGGCUGUGCUGAGGCAGGUGGUAAAAUGCCUAUUGACUUUAACAGAGUCUGGGUUAUACUUCAAAAAUAAACUGCACAGCUAUGCAAUAAAUGAAUUCAAUGUCCCAGAUGCAAACUUGUACAUUUAAACUGGUUUAAAUUUGCAUUACUCUGCAUUUAUAGCAGUACUAUGGGACUAUAAGUUAUUCCAGUUUUCCCUAUAUAUUGUUGAUAAACAGAUGCCAAACUAAAUCCACCUAAACCCCCAAACUAGGGGCACACAAUUCAAUUAUCAAUUGUGUGCAAGAUGUGCAAGCUGCUAGAAGUAGCUUCUAUCAAAUGUGUGCCCAGAGGCUCAGUAAUGGAUAUGGUGUUUUGAUUGCUAGUUUGGUUCUGUAGCACUGUCCAUACUUUCCUUACGCAUACAUCCUUGACUUAUAUUCCUGCAUAGUUGUAGGCUCAUUUCUUUGUUCCUAAAAUACUUAGAAGGGAAAGUAAAGGAAAGAUUAAAAUCAUUGUCUAAUUUUGUAUGAGCAGAAGGUUUUUUGGCAUAGAUCUACAGUAAAACAGGCGUUAUUGACAGCUUUGUCAAAUUUCCCAUAUGGACGGUUUCUCCUGAUUUCCAGGCAGUUACAAAUAAUGGGAGUGAAAGAUCUCUGCAGCUUGGCUGACAAGGCUGAAACAAGAAACAUGUAUGUGGCUUACUUUGGAGAGCUUAUAAUUUAUGGGGCCGUUGUCUUGCUUGCCCAAGGAACUGACAGGUUGUCUUUCACCACAAAGCAGCUCAGGCUGAAUUGGGACCACCACAAAUAAUCACAAAGUGGCUUUCAUGAAUGAGCAUGUGGUGCAGCCCAAGUAAAGCUUGCAAUGUCAGGGAGGAUGGAGCAAAGCUUUAUGUUCAGAAUGUGUUCAACACAGUCUGUUUCACCUGGUUUUGCUGUCCUACAGUCUCAUUUUCAAUGCACAGUAAAAGCAGCUCUAAGGAAAGGGAAGCUUGCCAGCUCGACUAGACAUCUUUUAUAUGGUGAAGAUGGCUGUGGCAGUGACAAUCUGUUUAUUAAAAUCUCUGAGUGUGUGUAAUUAUAGAGUACUGUGUGAUGAAUAAAGAUGAAGUUGGGCACAAAGUAAAUGGUCUUUUAGAGACUUUGAGUCUGCAGUAACUGUUAGAUUCCUGGAAAGCUUCCUGGCUCACAUGGAUAAUAUAUGAACAAAAUGGACUUCCAUUGAUGACAAAAAAAAAUGGCAAAAUUACACAUGAUUGAACCCAAUGAGCAUAUUCACCAGAGCGAUUAUUACUAUUAUUUUUAUGUGAUGCGGCUUGCAUUGUGUAUUUUUUAUGCUUGCACUUCUCUUCUAGUGAACUCAAUAGGGGCAGGAACAAGAAUCUGCUGAUAACUGAUCUGUGUUGUAAUUGUGUUGGGUCUGGUUUAUGUCUAAGGAUAAGAUUCCUGUGUUUAUGUAAUUCAGACACCUGAAAAGAAAAAUGGGAGUUUGGAGCUGCAAUAACUGAGA